CUGGGAUGAAAAAAAUGUAUUUCGCGUGAUUUUUUUUCACCUUCUUUUUGUUGGCGGAUAAAAAAUAUGACGCUAAAGACCUUUAGAAGAGGAUAAAUAAUCUAUGAAAGGAAAAACCUUAUUUUUAUACUUCUAUUUUAUGAUGUGCUAUAUAUUUGCUGGAAUCGCGUUGUGGAAAGAAAAUGAAUAUAUAUUAAACCAGAUGCAAAACUGGAAGCUACAUGAAAACGAAAUCGAAAUCAUAGAAUGACAAACCAGAAAAGGCGAAACUGAAAUCAAGAGAACGAAGAUUGCAGUGACAGUGGAAAGUGGAUAGGACGAGAUAUUGGGAGCAUGGCUUUUUUAUAUGACCAACACACAAAGGAGGCAGCCGAAGUUUUUAUCUUCCUGAAGUUGCCUGGCUUUGGAAAUAAGAUCCCCCUCCCCGUCUCUGGCAGCUGAACCAAUAAUCGAUAAUCAAUGGCUUACGGGAAGUUUCUACCCCUACGCAUGAAAGGAAGAACCCACCUCCCCCCUAUUCGUCCUUUCUUUCCUUUUACUUGAAACGUAAACUCUUCACUCUGACAACACAGCUGCACUUUGAUUUUGAUUUUGCUUACUCAGAAC